GUUUGCUGUUAUUCAAAAGGAUGUGUUUCACUUAGCUGCCAAAGCCUUACAGAAAUAUCUACAUCCAAGAAGAUAUGUUGACCUUCAGUUUAAAAUAUUAUCUUAUUAGGUCUGCUCCAGAUUUUCAUACACAGACAAGAGAAAGAAAGAAAGAAAAAAAGAAAAACUUCUAUUGCUCAUUAUCCUGGGAAACAAGAAAAUUGUUUUGAUUCUUAUCUUGGAAAUGCUUGGAAAGUACUGCUUUAUAGAAGAAAAAAAGAUCUGGACUGGGAGGAUGGGAUUCUUUUGUGCUGCAGUAAACAGGCCAAGGUUGGAGUCAUCACUGUCUAGUGGUAAAACAGAGUCAAGAUGACUGUUGAUACCUCAAGAUACAGUGGAUGAUUUUGACAUCUACAAUAAAUAUCUAGGCUCUAAAUACUCCAUUGCACCUGCUUCAGCUGCCUUCAUCACCACUGGGGAAAAAUGACUCACAUCUGUCCUUGCCACCAGGUGAAGUUUUCACUUGCUUGGGACAGAUAGCACUUUAAUUAACUAACAAAUUUGACACCCUUUGGUUACCCUGGUUUAGCUCAUCUGCUAAAACAGUUUACUAAGGUGUAGUCCCUGUGCAUGCAUACUACAGUUUCUUGGAGCCGCAGGUUAGAGUGGCUACCAUCAUCAAAGUGGGGUAGGACACCAGAGGUAGAAAUCCUCCCUGAAGAUCCCUGAAAAGGAAUUGGCAGUCCUCACACUAGGGGUACUAGUCUUCCCUGAACAUUGCCUAUAUCCCAAAGGAAGAAAUAAUAACUUGUGGAAAAUAUGACAGAAGCAUUGUGUGAGUAGUGAAUAUUCCAACUCUUUAUAUAAAAGCACAGUAUUUAUAUUUAUGGGAGAAGUAGCAAAAGUCAACAAUGUUGAAGAACUUUCCAAGUCUUCUGAAGAAACAGAAUCUAUAAGAUUACCAGAAGAUUCAAUUCAAUUCAACAAGAAUUUAUUGUAUGCCAACUAUAUGAAAAGCAUAGGAGUCACACAGAUAAAAAUAAAUAUAAUACUUCUUGACUCAAUAACCCUUUGAAUACUCUAUUAGCUCAGUUUAUUUAGGUAUCCCCACUAAUAAAUAAAGAUAUUAUAUAUAUAUAUAUAUAUAUAUAUAUAUAUAUAUAUACACACACACAUAAUAAACAUGGAAACAGAUAAGGAAUUAUAGGAUAAUUUGGUAUUAAAAUCAUUUGAAGAGGGAGAAAACGCUAACAGCUGGUAGAAUCAUGAAAACUUGGCAGUAGAAGAUGACAUCUAAGCUGAGACUGUAAGAAUGCUAUGAUUCUGGGAGUAAGGAAAGGAUAUAUUCAAAGACUAGGGCAGGGCAGACUCUACAAAGGCUUAGAAGUGGAAGAUAGGAGGCUGAAUUCAGAAGACAAUAUGUACAUUGGUUUGUUCAGAAACAUUCAUACUAUCAUCUCUGCUGAUGAUUCUAAAAUUUACCUCUCCUAUCCCAAACUCUUCUAAUGACUCUUCAUUCUCUCAUUUUCAGCUGUCUUUCAGAUAUGUCCACAUAUCUAAAAGUGAAGUCACGAUUUUUUCCUCUGAACCCUUCCCCCUUCCUAACUUACUUAUUGUUGUCUAGGGCAAACCAUCCUACUUGCCCCUCAGGUUUGUAACCUAGGUGUCACUAUUGACUCCAUUAUCUUUCAUUUUCCAUAUCUGAUUUGUUGCCAAAGUUGUCAAUUUCACCUUUGCAAUAUCUCUUGAUUUCUCUCACUUUUUAUCUCUCACAUUGCCAUCAAUAAAUGAAGGACCCCCUUCCUCAUGCUUCUAUCAUUGCAAUAGCUUACUGAUGGGUCUGCUUGCCUCAAGUCUUUCUCCACUCCAACUCAUUUUUCCAUUCGGGUGCUAACAUGAGUUUCCUAAAGUGCAGGUCUGAACAUGUCACCGCCUAAUAAAUAACCCUCACUGACUCCCUAUUAUCUCAAUUUUGAAUACAAAGUUCUCUGUUUAACAUUCAAAGCUUUUAUAAACUAAUUUCUCUCAGCCCAUUCCCUUUUAGCUUUCUUUCACUUUAUAUGCUCAUCACAUCACAUUAGUUUUUGAUUUAGGCCUGGUGUUAAGAAAUCAUUUCACUUGCAUGUCAUGGCAUCACCUUCCUGAUGUCAUGAUCCUCUUUGAGAACAAGGACAAUGUCUGUGAGUAAAGCUGGCCUGGAACUGUUCAUUUAGAAAACUCCUUCCUUUCCUUCCUUGCUCUCUCACUCCCUUCCUUCUCUUGUUCCUUCCUUCCUUCCUUCCUUCCUUCCUUCCUUCCUUCCUUCCUUCCUUCCUUCCUUCCUUCCUUUCUCCCUCCUCCUCUCCUUUCCUCCCUCUGUUCUACAUAAGAUUAUCAUACCCUUAUCUACAGCUACUCUUAAAAGAUUUUUUCUUCUUUUUUGCACCUCUGAUCUCUCCUAAGAUAUCUCAGGGUUUGCUGGUAAAUUUCUUUAAGUGGCAGGCCUUAAACCAUCUUUUCCAAUCCUUUUUAAUUUUAGUGUAUUCUUUCUUUUACUUAUUUUCUAUUUAUCUGGCUUAUUGUAUAUUUUUGUUUGCUUGUAGUCUCUCCCAUUGGAUGUUAAUCUCCUAGAAACAACAGUCUAUCUUUUGCUUCUUUUUGUAUACCUGGGGUUUAGCACAAUGCCUGGAACACAGUAGGUAGGGACUCCCUAAUUGUUUGUUGCAUGAUUUACUGAAGUGAGAAGUGGAAUGAUAUAAACUAAAUAUGGAAACUUAGGCUGAAAGUUCAAACUUCAGUGUUGAAAAUAAUCUGAGAGAAAGAAAUCUAAGAUAAAAAUUAGUUUGUUUAUAAUGGAAGGGGAUAGGCUAAGUCGUACAGUGAAUAAAGCACUGUCCUGGAUCCAGGAGGACCUGAGUCAAAUCCAGCUUCUAACAUUUACUAGCUGUGUGAUCCUGGACAAGUAACUUACCCCCAGUUGUCUCCCAACUAAUAAUGAAAGGGGGUGAAAGAUAGGAACUAAAGAAAAACAGGGUUGAAUCAAUUAAAGAUGUAGUUUUAAAUUAGAAGGAGAAAAAAAGUCUUGACUGUCAGAUAACUGUGUAUAUUUUCCUGACUAGGUUAUGGGGAUUAGAAUGAUAAAUGAUAGAGAUUUUCUAACCAUGACACAAAAUAGAGACAAAAACCAUAAAAUUACAUAUACUAAAAAUUUUCCAAGUUCAUAAUUAAAAUUAUAUGACAUAAUAUUGACUCAUAAUAUUUUCCAAAUAGAGCCAUGUCAAUGAUCUGCUAUACAUAACAGGAGAGAGCCAAAACCUGUGAUGGCUGAUUAAAGAGGCACCUAUUUAUUUUGUUGACCAGGUGGGGCUGCCUUUGUUGAAAUUUCCAUAAAUAUAUUCAAUGGUGGCAUAUUUUUGUUUUAUAUGAGUCUUUUUGACUUUUGAAAAUAAUCAAAAUUCAUUUAAGGAAAAACUUGUAAAUAUAAGGUCAAGUUAGGUAUAUAUUUUUUUAAUUUAAAAAAGAGGUGUGAAGAUAAAAUAACAUGUUUUAGUGUAUUUUGUAAUGAAGUUUGAAGAUGAUUCCAAAAUAAUACUAUCACAAAUAUUUUGAAAAGAAAAGCUGGGAUAUGUUUCUCAAGGGCACUACUUCAAAGGAAAUCACACUUAUUUAGACAUAUUAUUCUUUUUUAUUUUUAAAAACUCGUUCAUUGCUUUAAAGUUGUACCUUAUAUAUAGUAGUACUCUCCUACUAGUGUUAGUUCACAUACGAAUAAUACAUUUCAAAAACAGAAAGGAAAUGCCCUUUUAAAUAAAAGCUACAACAUGUCACAUAAGACAGCCAAAAAUACAAUCUUAAAAUGUCACAGAAGGUUAAAGUUUCAUAACACAGAUACAUUUUUAUCUUAAGCUGGUAUCCCUAGUGAAGAUUUUAAUGCAAAAUGCAAGGUAAAGCCAAUGUAUCAUAAACUUCAAAAAUGUUAUUUUAAAAUGCUGCAAAAGAUUGGUCUUUGAAUCUUUGAGUAAAAGGUUUUGCAUGACUACCAACCUAUCCCUUAAAAGAAUGAUACUGCAAGACUAAAGUACCUCAAAUGAGUAUAAGACUCAUAUUAGAGGCAAUUUUCUAAUCCAAUCUAAUCUAAUGCAGGAAGUAAACUGAAAUAAAUCACUCAUAUGUUCUAUGUCAACCCUUAUUUUUAGAAUUAAUAUUUGUGCUUUUUCCAGCACAUUGAUUGGAUGGAUCUGCACUAUUUGCACCUUUGGAUGAAUGAAUGUUAAAGGGCACAACCUGGUAUAAAAUUGGGAUCCUUGAGGCAAAGCCAAUGUUAGAAAAUCUGGCUUCAAUGAAGAAUAUUAAGGACAAUAAUAUAAAGGAAUUCCAUUUAUUUCAACUAAAAUCAGUAAAAAGGAUAAAUAUGAAGUGACUUAUUAAAAAAAAAACUAUGAGAGGCUGCUAGGUGGCACAGUGGCACAGUGCCCUGAAGUCAGGAAGACUUGAGUUCAAAUGUUGUCUUGAACACUUAACACUUCCUAGCUGUGUGACCCUGGGUAAGUCACUAAUCUCCAACUCUCUCAGAGGGAAAAAAAAACCUAUGAAAAGUAAAAAUAUAAAAGAUUACACAUUAUCACCUUCCUUCAAAAAAUACACAAACCAAUGUAACAUGGGAAGAUGAAAAUCUAUUUUUUAAAAGGUACUCUCCAUUUCAAUUUUAUUUUGCUUUCAUUUAUCAAUCAACCUAUAUCUAAUAUUUACAUAUUAAGUUCCUACUCUGCACUAUGUAGUGUGCCAAAUGAUGGACAGAGGUACUUUUUUUUUAUGAGACAGCUCUGAAACUACUUGGAAGUUGUAUUUGGAAGCAAUAGGUUAUAGUGCAGUGGAAAGAAAAUAACAGUCAUGGAAAGAGAUCACAUAAGGAGGUCAGAAGAAAAGCAGAAACAUAGAAAGGAAAAUCAGGUAGUCAUACACUUGAAAAUCAUAAUAGCUUCCUUAUGAAACUGAAGUACAGUCAGGUUUUGUGAGAUGAGGAGGCAGUUGCUCAAAGAAAAUAGAACACUUCCAAAAGAAUACAUAUUUACUAAGUAAAGCAGAAAGAGAGGAUUUCAAGCAAGUGUGAAUUGGCUCACCAUGGUGUGACUUUAAAAGGGAUGGGGGCAACUAAUAGAUUGAUAAACUAUGGAAUUUAAUAAGAAUUUUUUUAAAGUGCUUAUUAUGUUUUAGGCAUUAUCCUAUGUUGUGGAGAUGUAAGAAUAAUUUUUUUUUAAAAAUUCAAAAUAUCCCCACCAUUAAGGUAUUCACAUCCUAAUUGAAGAGGCAGAAAAUAUGAAGAUUAUUUUCCUAAAUGAAAAUUACUAGUUACAUGCCAAGUUUGUAUGAAAUAGAUGAGAAGUAAUCUCAUUGAAUUCUUAAAUCUACUCUGGAAAGGAGUAGGCAGAAUAAAAGAUAAUAUUACUGAUUUCCUGGAGUUGUGGAAGAUAGAAUCUAUUUUGUGAAUGUAAUUUAUAGAGCUGAUUUAAUUAUUUGUUAUUUGCCUUAAUAUUUUCUUUUGAUUAAACAUUUCCUUUCUUUUGAAUUCAUGUGUCCUUAGCAUAAUUCAGCUAAGAGGGGUAUGGUAGGUACUUGGUUAUAGUUUCAAAUAGAGCAUGACUCAGAAAAGUACUUAAGCACAGAAGUAGAAGGGAGUAGAAUAUAUACUAAUUAGAGUAAUUAGAGAAACUAAUUAGAAUAAAACAGAAACCAAGGGAAAUAUAUAAAUAUGAUAAGUAAACAGGUAUAUGCUACAUGGGGAGGGUAUGAGGCUUAGCAGGGAAGUUAAAGUUAUAAUAAUAAAAGAAAUAAGGCAAACAGAAAUAAAAAUAAAUUAUGUUAUACAUUAGAAUAAAUACAUUAGCAAGGUUAAAUGAAAAUAGGAGUGAAAGGGCAAGAAUAAAAGUCAGGUUAUGAUAAAUUUGGUUGGCCUGCUUUUCCUAAAUAUGCUCUAUAGUUAAUCACCUAUGUCCUGUGAUCAUCCUGAUUAAAUAUUUUAUUCUCUGUGGCCCUUGUGUAAGAGAGGAAAAAUGGAGAACAGGGAAUAGAGGAGUUAUAGCUGAUUUGCUAUUGGAUUAGCUGGCUGACAAAUAAUUAAACCAAGUAAAAGGAGCAAAAAUAAGAUGAAGGUAAAUUUUCAGUUUUUCUGUGUUUUUUCUCCAUUUUCCUAAGAGAAACAACAAAUUGGGAUUUAGUUUUCUGAACAAAAUUUGUUAAUAUAUAAAAAUGUCACAUAAUGUACAGUUAAUAGCAGUGUUAUUCAAUUAGUAUAAUAUAUUUGCAUACAUAUUGGUGAGUUAUAAGAACUUGUUGAUCCUCCAUAAGUUUUAAACAGACAGGAGUUGUCCAGCAUGACCAAAAGAAGAAUUAUCUAGAAAAGAAGUGUCUUUAUGUAUAUAGAGUAGUUUUCCUGAACAUACCAACAACAUAAAAGGUUGAAAUCUAUAGAAGUGAGUAUGGGAAAUACAUGGGUUUUUGUAUUCAUCUAUCUCCUCACAAAGUUUAUGAAAUGUGUGCCUAAUAUUCCAUACAAAUACUGAGUUCACUUGUAGGAGACUAUGAUCCAGCUUUAUAUGCAGAUUUCCUUAUUCUCUCUUUCUCUCUGUCUGUCUCAUUCUGUCUCUCUGUCUCUCUCUGUCUGUCUCUGUCUCUCUGUCUGUCUGUCUCUCUCUCUCUGUCUCUCUCUCUCUCUGUUUGUCUCUCUCUGUCUCUCUGUGUUUGUCUGUCUGUGUCUAUCUGUCUGUCUCUGUCUCUCUGUGUGUCUGUCUGUCUGUCUCUAUCUCUGCCUCUGUCUCUCUGUCUCUGUCUCACACACACAAACACACAAAGAAUGAGACAUGACUGAAUGACUGAAUGAUACCCUUGUUAAGACUAUCAUCCCUGCUUCCAGCUCAAUCCCCAUAGCUAUCACUGAAUUGAAUAAUCAUGAUGAAGGAGUACAAAUUCCUAGCCACUACCACUACCAUCUGGAAC
ensembl:lncRNA